AUAUUUACCUGGCAGGGGAGACACCAUGAUGAUGAAGGUAGUUUUCCCAGGGUGAGGGUCAUCCAUUGCACUCUGGGUGUACUGACCCCUGCGAUUUCCCCAAAUGCGGGAAACUUGACUGCAUAAUUUGUGGUAUUAGGGGACUGCGUUCACACUUNNNNNNN
rnacentral:snRNA from 1 species